CUAGAGAAAGAGGGACAAACACCCUCCUUAAUGAU
rnacentral:tRNA from 1 species